AGCGAACGCUGGCGGCAGGCCUAACACAUGCAAGUCGAACGAACUCUUCGGAGUUAGUGGCGGACGGGUGAGUAACACGUGGGAACGUGCCCUUAGGUUCGGAAUAACUCAGGGAAACUUGUGCUAAUACCGAAUGUGCCCUUCGGGGGAAAGAUUUAUCGCCUUUAGAGCGGCCCGCGUCUGAUUAGCUAUUUGGUGAGGUAAAGGCUCACUAAGGCGACGAUCAGUAGCUGGUCUGAGAGGAUGCUCAGCCACAUUGGGACUGAGACGCGGCCCAAACUCCUACGGGAGGCAGCAGUGGGGAAUCUUGCGCAGUGGGCGAAAGCCUGACCCAGCCAUGCCGCGUGAAUGAUGAAGGUCUUAGGAUUGUAAAAUUCUUUCACCGGGGACGAUAAUGACGGUACCCGGAGAAGAAGCCCCGGCUAACUUCGUG
rnacentral:rRNA from 1 species